AUUGAACGCUGGCGGCAGGCCUAACACAUGCAAGUCGAGCGGAUGACGGGAGCUUGCUCCUCGAUUCAGCGGCGGACGGGUGAGUAAUACCUAGGAAUCUGCCUGAUAGAGGGGGACACCGGUUCGAAAGGAACGCUAAUACAGCAUACUUCCUACGGGAGAAAGCAUGGGACCUUCGGGCCAUGCGCUAUCAGAUGAGCCUAGGUGGGAUUAGCUAGUUGGUGAGGUAAUUGCUCACCAAGGCGACAAUCCGUAACUGGUUUGCGAGGAUGAUCAGACACACUGGAACUGCGACACGGUCCAGACUCCUACGGGAGGCAGCAGUGGGGAAUAUUGGACAAUGGGCGCAAGCCUGAUCCAGCCUUGCCGCGUGUGUGAAGAAGGUCUUCGGAUUGUAAAGCACUUUAAGUUGGGAGGAAGGGAAGUAUGUUAAUACCUCGCUGUUUUGACGUUACCGACAGAAUAAGCACCGGCUAACUCUGUGCCAGCCGCCGCGGUAAUAC
rnacentral:rRNA from 1 species